rnacentral:rRNA from 1 species
CCCUUAGAUGUUCUGGGCCGCACGCGCGCUACACUGACGAAUGCAACGAGCUUAUAACCUUGGCCGAAAGGUCUGGGUAAUCUCCAAAUUUCGUCGUGAUGGGGAUAGAUUAUUGCAAUUAUUAAUCUUCAACGAGGAAUGCCUAGUAAGCGCAAGUCAUCAGCUUGCGUUGAUUACGUCCCUGCCCUUUGUACACACCGCCCGUCGCUCCUACCGAUUGAAUGGUCCGGUGAAGCGUUCGGCCCGUGGCCUUUGGACGGUUCGCCGUCUGUUGGCUGCGGGAAGUUCGUUAAACCUUAUCAUUUAGAGGAAGGAGAAGUCGUAACA